rnacentral:ncRNA from 1 species
AUGCUGCGUGAAGGAUAUAAGGCUAACACGCCCCUUGACAAAAAUAGCAGAGGCCUUUGGACCUGACAACAUGCCUACAGUGAAGGAAUUGCUACCUGAAUCAUAGUAUCUAACCACCAUUUUUA